GUGGUGGAAUUUUUUUCUCCCAUUAUUGCCACUGUCUUUUAGAUAUACGGAAUAUGGGCUUUGUGCGAUGCAGCUUAGUCAUAUAAUUAAUUGUUCCUCGUAUGUAUCUGGAAUGGCAGUGCAUCUUUUAGCUUAUUAUUUAAUUUAAUAGAUGCAUUGUGAUUUUUUUUUCUCAGAUUCUUGUAUAAAAUUCUACUAGAUCUGUUGCAACAGACUACUAGUUUCUUAGAAGCAGAACCUUUCUGUAUAAGUGAUCUGAUAAUUGUUCAUUCAUAUCAUCAGAUUUGGGAUGCCUAUAAUGUGA
rnacentral:misc_RNA from 1 species